rnacentral:miRNA from 1 species
ACAAACAUCAGCUUACCCCGGGG